GCCAUGCUUGGUGCAUUGGGUUGUGUCUUCCCUGAAAUUCUUUCAAAGAACGGUGUUAAAUUCGGUGAAGCCGUUUGGUUCAAGGCAGGAGCCCAAAUCUUUUCAGAAGGUGGACUCGACUACCUCGGCAACCCAAACCUCGUCCAUGCCCAGAGCAUCCUCGCCAUUUGGGCUUGCCAAGUUGUCCUAAUGGGCUUGAUUGAAGGAUACAGGGUUGGUGGAGGCCCACUUGGUGAAGGUCUUGACAAGAUCUACCCAGGAGGUGCCUUCGACCCACUUGGCCUUGCUGAUGAUCCCGAGGCUUUUGCUGAGUUGAAGGUUAAGGAAAUCA
rnacentral:lncRNA from 1 species